ACUCAUCACAGCAGAAUUCUGAUGAGGCUGGGCUCUUUCGCAGCUGGCAUUUGAUGAGAAAAGGGAAUUGAAAUGUAGGUGAUUGAUUUGGACCUGGAGAAGCUGAUUGGAUGUCACCCUGUUCUUCCCGACAAUGGGGACCGGUCUGUGCAAAGGGGACUUCCUGUGACCCCUGCGGGUCCACCGGAAGUUCUGAUUUCUCCCCGUGGAAUAGGGGCGCGAAGGCUGCCCUGUCACACACGGCCCAAGAGAUUGAUUACCUGGGCUCUGGCAGCCUCUCUGGGUGGCCUACCUGGUUGGGUGGUCCAGACUUCCACGCCUGAGAGCCCGAGCCCUUGGUCGUCACGUCCUCCUUUGGCUUUGGCUGCUGCUCUUGUCCAUUCACCAUCAAAUAUGGAUGAAAGAGUCCAAGGCGACACCUUGAUGGAUCUCCUGAGUGCCGAAUGGAGUCAGUAGCUUCAUUGUGCAGUAGCUUCAUCCUCCUGAGAAUCCCCCUGCGAUUCCCCAGCCUGCCAGGUGUCCCACAUGAACGCAGCCUGUUCUGGUUCUCCUUCCUGAUAAGAGUGGAAAAGAAUGCAUUCACCCGGUAUGGGCUGCAUUCCUGGGCCACAGGCCACCAAGCUCACCUGCACCAGGAAAGCUGCUCCCCACCAG
rnacentral:lncRNA from 1 species